AUGAACGCUAGCGGCAGGCUUAAUACAUGCAAGUCGUGGGGCAGCAGGUUUGUAGCAAUACAGAUGCUGGCGACCGGCAAACGGGUGCGGAACACGUACAGAACCUUCCUUUGAGCGGGGAAUAGCCCAGAGAAAUUUGGAUUAAUACCCCAUAGUAUAAUGAAGUGGCAUCACUUUAUUAUUAAAGAUUUAUCACUCGAAGAUGGCUGUGCGGCUGAUUAGGUAGUUGGCGGGGUAAAGGCCCACCAAGCCUGCGAUCAGUAACUGGUGUGAGAGCACGACCAGUCACACGGGCACUGAGACACGGGCCCGACUCCUACGGGAGGCAGCAGUAAGGAAUAUUGGUCAAUGGAGGCAACUCUGAACCAGCCAUGCCGCGUGGAGGAUGAAGGUCCUCUGGAUUGUAAACUUCUUUUAUAUGGGACGAAAAAAGGCUUUUCUAAGUCGUCUGACGGUACCAUAUGAAUAAGCACCGGCUAGCUCCGUG
rnacentral:rRNA from 1 species